GACGAACGCUGGCGGCGUGCUUAACACAUGCAAGUCGAACGGAAAGACCCUGCUUUUGUGGCGUUCUCGUGUGGCGCACGUGUGAGUAACCCGUUAGUAACCUGCCCUUUACUUUGUUAUAUCUUCAGGAAACUGGGGCUAAUACCGCAUAGGAUCUCCUCCUCCAUUGUGGUGGUUGGCAAUUUUCGGCGGGUGGGGAUGGACUCGCGGCUUAUCAGCUUGUUUGUUGGGUUGUGGCUUACCAAGGAUUUGACGGGUAGCAGGCCUGAGAGGGUGACCGGACACAAUGGGACGGAGAAACGGCGCAGACGACUACGGGAGGAAGCAGUGGGGAAUAUUGCACAAUGGGGGGAAGAAUGAUGAAGAAAAGAAGCGGGGGGGAUGAAGGACGUCGGGGUGUAAACAGCUUACGACUGAGAAGAAGAGAGAGUGACGGUAAUGGGUAAAGAAGCACCGGCUAACUACGUG
rnacentral:rRNA from 1 species